AGUAGCGAAAUUGCAAAUGAUAUUAAAAAAAAACGCGUUUUUCAACUGUACCAUCUGCAAGAUAAUCUCUAGUGAAAAUUAAACAAACUCGUUACGGCGCCGACCACUUUCCCGCCGAGCACGUUCCGAUUAUAUGAACCACCUGUCCCUCCCAGAUCGCAGUGUUAGACUACCUUUUGCAUUAAACAGGAUUAUAGUAGUAGCUGCCACGGCGAGUGUAACAGCGAAACGCCAUUUUUGAAUUUAAUCAGUGCCGAAUGUAAUGUACAGGUUGAUUAUUCUACUCGUUUUGUUGGUCGGAGUGUUGUACUCCUUACACUUACUGGUCCAGGAUUACCAGGCCUUGACUGCUGCUCCGAAGCUGCUCCGGUUUUUAUUUAAACGCGACCUUCGAUCGUCGCAGCACUUGUGCAAGCGCUAAAUUCAAAUUAAAAGAAAUACAUUGUCUUUAAGUAUAAAGAUGCUGUUUGUGAUAUCAAACGAAAGUCAAAAACUACCUGCCUACCUACCUGCCUACGGAGAUUUUAUAAAGGCUGAAAUUUAAAAGAUCAUUCACAUCACGAUUCUAAGGAAUUCGGAGAAUCUCACUUUAUAAAAACGAGAUUACUAACCAAGUUUGUUCCAGGGUACAACUAUUAUCGAACGAUUAAAAAUGAAGUACGUGAUUGAUUUGUGACAUAGACAGAAUAAAUAUCUCCACUGGUACGAGCUUUCAAAACACCGAAUACUGAGGCCCUUGCUUAUCAUGCUCAUGAAUAUGCUAUUUAAGUUGUACGGGGCAGUGUAAGAUGGCGCAGAAUACUACAGCACGAUCCUAUUCAAUGCGCUCGCUACCUUUAUUGCGAUCUUGGGGCGCGACCGCCGAACAAUAGCGUCGGGCGAGGCUUCGUGUACAUGCUCACGCUCAAACCACAUGAUGAAGACUUACAGUCACUAGAGUAUUUUCAAAUGGCCUAUCACCGCGGUCAAUUGGGAGGUAUAUUUGGCUGCAAGGAAUACUAUCCUAUGUGUCCCUUCGAUGCACAAUUAUUAUUCAGACUGAUACAAUAUCUGAUCGAUAAACAAUAAUCCUAAUCCUAGAAAUCGUGUUGAUAUUAAUGGUCGGUUGGUAUGAAGGGUUUGUGUCUUACGUGAAUGCUAAGUGAAAUUCUGUGAAGCGUCAAAAGCUGAACACAUUUUUGAAGUCCUUGAAGCAUUUUUGAGGGCAACAUAUCAGCCUUCAGAUUUGUUUGUUUGCCUUACCGAUGUAACAAUAAUAUGUAUGCUGUAAAAAAUAUUUUAUAUAAAACUUUGGCGCAGGUGCAUACUUUUCGAGAUUUGAAUUUUUUAUGAAAUCUUUUAAAAGCAUAAUAUUAAUAUGUGUUAUUUGUAUGUGUAUUAUUUAGUAUUCUAUAUCAUAUGAUAAAUCUUGGUUUUCCUUUUUAUUGACAUGAUGGCCAAAGAUAUUUUUGAUAACCAUUGUUUAACUAUUUAGAACGUCAAGUGAAUGUGAAAUUAUGUUUCAAUAAAUGCAAAAUAAUUACUA